UGAGAGAUGGCCCCCAUCCAGGAAGGCGCAGGCGCGAAAAUUACCCACCUCCGGCGCGGAGAGGUAGUGACUAGUCAUAACAAAUAUAGACCCUAGUGGUUUGUAUUUGGACUGGUGAGAUGUUAUAAAUAUCUCAGUAAUCUAGAUCAGGGCAAGUCUGGUGCCAGCAGCCGCGGUAAUACCAGCCUGAUCAAGCGUAUGCUUUAGUUGCUGCGUUUAAAAAGCUCAUAGUUGGAUCUUCGAGAGCGUGAUCAUCAAAGGGCGUAGUUCGGUUACGGUCGUUCUAUUCCUGGUCACGGACUUUCAAUAUACUUGGAAGACAGUUUAUUCUUAACUGAAUAGACUGAUCGAAAACAAGUGAUAAACCUUGAAAAAAUUAGAGUGCUCAAAGCAAGCUUUGGCCUUGAAUUUUAAAGCAUGGAAUUGAGGAAGAGGACCAUUAUGGUCGUGAACCAUUUUGGUAAUGAUUAAAAGGAACAGACGGGGGCAUACGUAUUGCUCGGGGAGGGGUGAAAUCCGUAGAUCCCAGCAAGACGACCUACUGCGAAAGCAUUUGCCAAGAAUGUUUUCAUUAAUCAAGAACGAAAGUUAGAGUAUUAAAGAGGAUUAGAUACCCUCGUAAUUCUAACCUUAAACGAUACCAUCUUAAUCUUAGCCAAUGUAAUUUAUUACUUGG
rnacentral:rRNA from 1 species